rnacentral:tRNA from 2 species
GGAGAGUUGGUCGAGUGGCUGAAGGCACCGGUCUUGAAAACCGGGGAAGGCGUACGUCUUCCGAGGGUUCAAAUCCCUCACUCUCCGCCA